UACGUAGGGACCAAGCGUUGUUCGGAUUUACUGGGCGUAAAGGGCGCGUAGGCGGCAAUUCAAGUCAUCUGUGAAAUCUCCGGGCUUAACUCGGAAUGGUCAGGUGAUACUGCUUUGCUAGAGUGCAGAAGGGGCAAUCGGAAUUCUUGGUGUAGCGGUGAAAUGCGUAGAUAUGCGGAGGAACACCGAUGGCGAAGGCAGUCCCCUGGGCCUGUACUGACGCUCAUGCACGAAAGCGUGGGGAGCAAACAGG
rnacentral:rRNA from 1 species